rnacentral:lncRNA from 1 species
GAAUGGCCACGGGAAGAACCCUGCCCAUGUGGGCACUGUGUGCCACUCGAGUGUGCUCGUGCGCGACUAGCACAGGACAUGCACUUGUGCGCACGUCCCAUCAUCACGGGGUGCGAGGCAUAGUCUGCGCGCGAAUCUUAUAGCGUGAAGACAGGCGCGGCUUCCCACGCCCUGUGCACAUGAUAGGCCUGCGCGUAUUAGGGCUGUGCGUGGUAGACCUGGAAGUAUUAGGGUUGCGCGCAAUAAGCUUACAUGUAGGGGCUUUGCAUGCAAUAGGCCUGCGCAUGCAGCAAGCUGGGG